CCACUCGAGACGCUGCAGCCCAGCCUGUUUAUCUUGUGAGCUGCAGAGGCACUCACAGCCCCCGCUGCGGCUCCGUCCCCGGGUGAUUGCAUCUCUCCUAGGUGGGUGUUAAAGGACGGGACCAGACGACCGGAACCAUGGGAGGAAGAGCAGGCAGGCUGCAGGAGAGGAAGGAGGAAGGAACCGCAGGAGAGGGUGUGGCGUGAGGCCGAUGGAAACCACAGCUAUCUGUUGGGCAGGAAAGAGAAACCAGAUACAGCUUCCUGGGCAAUAGAACUUCAGAGACAAGCACAGUUUGCUGGCAACUCCAGGAGGCUGAAGCCACCAUUCCCGCAGCCUUUGGGGGUGAGUUUAUCUCAGAGGACUGGCUGUUUGUCAGGGCUUGGGUCUCUUCCUUCUCUUGGCUGUUUACCUUCUUGCUACUUUCCUAUUAACAGCACAGCCUGGAGAAUGAAGGGAGCAGGAAGGGAGGCUCAUUUCAGUUCAUUUGGCUUCUUGUUUGAUUAUCUAAAGGACCGGAUGGCUGCUGCAGAAAGUGACUUCAUCGAGGAUGGGGUCGCAGGGCUCCAAGCCCUCAUGGGGAGCCAGGCACAGGGCGGGUCAUGGGCUUACACCACCCCUGUCAGUAAUGGCAGGGCCAGUCUCCUGCUGUCCUGCUACAGCCCCCAGCCUGCUUCCAUUCCUGACCUACUGCUCCCAGGAUAA
rnacentral:lncRNA from 1 species